rnacentral:rRNA from 1 species
GCCUAAACAUGCAAGUCGAACGGUAACAGGAAGCAGCUUGCUGCUUCGCUGACGAGUGGCGGACGGGUGAGUAAUGUCUGGGAAACUGCCUGAUGGAGGGGGAUAACUACUGGAAACGGUAGCUAAUACCGCAUAACGUCGCAAGACCAAAGAGGGGGACCUUCGGGCCUCUUGCCAUCGGAUGUGCCCAGAUGGGAUUAGCUAGUAGGUGGGGUAACGGCUCACCUAGGCGACGAUCCCUAGCUGGUCUGAGAGGAUGACCAGCCACACUGGAACUGAGACACGGUCCAGACUCCUACGGGAGGCAGCRGUGGGGAAUAUUGCACAAUGGGCGCAAGCCUGAUGCASCCAUGCCGCGUGUAUGAAGAAGGCCUUCGGGUUGUAAAGUACUUUCAGCGGGGAGGAAGGGAGUAAAGUUAAUACCUUUGCUCAUUGACGUUACCCGCASAAGAAGCACCGGCUAACUCCGUGCCAGCAGCCGCGGUAAUACGGAGGGUGCAAGCGUUAAUCGGAAUUACUGGG